GGCAGCCCGACAAAACCAGAGGAAGUUAUUGAGAAAUGGUUAAAAGAACAGCUGGAGGUGAAUGCCACCAUAGAAGUACUGAAUGUCAUCAUAAAGGAGAAUGUAGGCAGGAACAUGGCAAAUGGA